AGAAUAAGCACCGGCUAACUUCGUGCCAGCAGCCGCGGUAAUACGAAGGGUGCAAGCGUUAAUCGGAAUUACUGGGCGUAAAGCGCGCGUAGGUGGUUCAGCAAGUUGGAUGUGAAAUCCCCGGGCUCAACCUGGGAACUGCAUCCCAAACUACUGACCCUACAGUACGGUAGAGGGUGGUGGAAUUUC
rnacentral:rRNA from 1 species